UGGGGAAUAUUGCACAAUGGGCGCAAGCCUGAUGCAGCCAUGCCGCGUGUAUGAAGAAGGCCUUCGGGUUGUAAAGUACUUUCAGUCGGGAGGAAGGUGGUAAGGUUAAUAACCUUAUCAAUUGACGUUACCGACAGAAGAAGCACCGGCUAACUCCGUGCCAGCAGCCGCGGUAAUACGGAGGGUGCAAGCGCUAAUCGGAAUUACUGGGCGUAAAGCGCACGCAGGCGGUUGAUUGAGUCAGAUGUGAAAUCCCCGGGCUUAAACCGGGAGUUGCAUCUGAUAUUGGUCAGCUAGAGUCUUGUAGAGAGGGGUAGAAUUCCAUGUGUAGCGGUGAAAUGCGUAGAGAUGUGGGGGAAUACCGGUGGCGAAGGCGGCCCCCUGGACAAAGACUGACGCUCAGGUGCGAAAGCGUGGGGAGCAAACAGG
rnacentral:rRNA from 1 species